AGCGAAAUGCGAUACUUGGUGUGAAUUGCAGAAUCCCGUGAACCAUCGAGUCUUUGAACGCAAGUUGCGCCUGAAGCCAUUAGGCUAAGGGCACGCCUGCCUGGGCGUCACGC
rnacentral:rRNA from 1 species